AGUAAAGUCAGCUAAAUAAGCUAUUAGGCCCAUACCCUGAUCAUGUUGGUGAAAAUCCCUCCUUUGCUG
rnacentral:tRNA from 1 species